rnacentral:rRNA from 1 species
GACGAAGGAUGCAAGCGCUAUCCGGAUUCAUUGGGUUUAAAGGGAGCGUAGGUGGCCUUAUAAGUCAGUGGUGAAAUCUCUUGGCUUAACCAAGAAAUUGCCAUUGAUACUGUAGGGCUUGAGUACAGUUGCUGUGGGCGGAAUAUGACAUGUAGUGGUGAAAUACAUAGAGAUCAGGAAGAACACCGGUGGCGAAAGCGCUCUGCUAGGCCGCAACUGACACUGAGGGACGAAAGCUAGGGGAGCGAAUGGG